rnacentral:rRNA from 1 species
UAGUCCACGCCCUAAACGAUGCACAUUUGGUAUCGGCUUGUUGGAGUCGGUGCCGGAGCAAACGCGUUAAAUGUGCCGCCUGGGAAGUACGGCCGCAAGAUUAAAACUCAAAGGAAUAGACGGGAUCCACACAAGCAGUGGAGCAUCUGGUUUAAUUCGAUAAUAAGCGGGGAACCUUACCGGGGCUUGACAUCCUCAGAACUCUCUAGAAAUAGAGCGGUGCCCUUCGGGGAACUGAGUGACAGGUGCUGCAUGGUUGUCGUCAGCUCGUGCUUUGAAGUGUUCGGUUAAGUCCGUUAACGAGCGCAACCCUCAUCGUAUGUUGUUCUUUUCAUGCGAGACUGCCAGGUUUAACCUGGAGGAAGGUGAGGACGACGUCAAAUCAGCAUGGGCCCUUAUGUCCCGGGGCGACACAGGUGCUACAAUGGGGAAGGACAAUGGGGUAGCCAAGCCGCAAGGCGGAGCCAAUCCCACAAACCUUUUCNCAGUUCGGAUUGUGGUCUGCAACUCGACCAU